AACGAACGCUGGCGGCAUGCCUAAUACAUGCAAGUCGAACGAUCACUUCGGUGGUAGUGGCGCACGGGUGCGUAACGCGUGGGAAUCUGCCCUUGGGUUCGGAAUAACGUCGGGAAACUGACGCUAAUACCGGAUGAUGACGUAAGUCCAAAGAUUUAUCGCCCAGGGAUGAGCCCGCGUAGGAUUAGCUAGUUGGUGGGGUAAAGGCCUACCAAGGCGACGAUCCUUAGCUGGUCUGAGAGGAUGAUCAGCCACACUGGGACUGAGACACGGCCCAGACUCCUACGGGAGGCAGCUGUAGGGAAUAUUGGACAAUGGGGGCAACCCUGAUCCAGCAAUGCCGCGUGAGUGAUGAAGGCCUUAGGGUUGUAAAGCUCUUUUACCCGGGAUGAUAAUGACAGUACCGGGAGAAUAAGCCCCGGCUAACUCCGUGCCAGCAGCCGCGGUAA
rnacentral:rRNA from 1 species